rnacentral:tmRNA from 1 species
GGGGGUGACUGGCUUUGACAGCGUGUAGAAGCGGUAAGCAAGCAUGCAGAGCCUUGAUGCGUAAGCUCUAUAAUACCGACGUAUCGAACUAUAAUUGGCGAAAAUAACAAUUACGCUCUCGCUGCGUGAUCUGAAGUACAGUAGGAUCCCUUUAUUCUGCUCAAAGUGAGUAGAACGAGACAUCGCUCCAUUGCCCCGUUCCGAGACGUUUGGACAAAGCGGUGCUGAGAAAUUCGGAAAUAGGAGAGAGGCAGCCUUGAC